GGUUAAGUGACUAAGCGUACACGGUGGAUGCCUUGGCAGUCAGAGGCGAUGAAGGACGUAUUAACUUGCGAUAAGCCCAGAUUAGGUAGUAAAAACCACUUGAGUCUGGGAUUUCCGAAUGGGGAAACCCACUUACAUAAGUAAGUAUCGCUGCGUGAAUACAUAGCGCAGCGAGGCGAACCGGGGGAACUGAAACAUCUAAGUACCCCGAGGAAAAGAAAUCAACCGAGAUUCCGAAAGUAGCGGCGAGCGAAAUUGGACUAGCCCUUAAGCUUUUUAUGCGUCAGGUGAAACUUCUGGAAAGUUGUGCGAUACAGGGUGAUAGCCCCGUAACUAAGCAACGCAUAUAAAGUGAAAUCGAGUAGGGCGGGACACGUGAUAUCCUGUCUGAAUAUGGGGGGACCAUCCUCCAAGGCUAAAUACUACUGACUGACCGAUAGUGAACCAGUACCGUGAGGGAAAGGCGAAAAGAACCCCUGUGAGGGGAGUGAAAUAGAACCUGAAACCGUGUACGUACAAGCAGUAGGAGCACCUUCGUGGUGUGACUGCGUACCUUUUGUAUAAUGGGUCAGCGACUUAUAUUCAGUGGCAAGGUUAACCAUCUAGGGGAGCCGUAGGGAAACCGAGUCUUAACUGGGCGUUCAGUCUCUGGAUAUAGACCCGAAACCAUAGGUGAUCUAGCCAUGGGCAGGUUGAAGGUUGAGUAACAUCAACUGGAGGACCGAACCGACUAAUGUUGAAAAAUUAGCGGAUGACUUGUGGCUAGGGGUGAAAGUACCAAUCAAACCUGGAGAUAGCUGGUUCUCCCCGAAAGCUAUUUAGGUAGCGCCUCGGACGAAUACUACUGGGGGUAGAGCACUGUUAAGGCUAGGGGGUCAUCCCGACUUACCAACCCUUUGCAAACUCCGAAUACCAGUAAGUACUAUCCGGGAGACACACGGCGGGUGCUAACGUCCGUCGUGGAGAGGGAAACAACCCAGACCGCCAGCUAAGGUCCCAAAUUACUACUAAGUGGGAAACGAUGUGGGAAGGCUCAGACAAGCCAGGAUGUUGGCUUAGAAGCAGCCAUCAUUUAAAGAAAGCGUAAUAGCUCACUGGUCGAGUCAGUCUGCGCGGAAGAUGUAACGGGGCUAAGUAGUAAACCGAAGCUGCGGCAAUGCACUUUAGUGCAUUGGGUAGGGGAGCGUUCUGUAAGCGGUUGAAGGUGUGUGGUAACGCAUGCUGGACGUAUCAGAAGUGCGAAUGCUGACAUGAGUAACGAUAAAGGGGGUGAAAAACCUCCUCGCCGGAAGACCAAGGGUUCCUGUCCAACGUUAAUCGGGGCAGGGUAAGUCGACCCCUAAGGCGAGUACCGAAAGGCGUAGUCGAUGGGAAACGGGUUAAUAUUCCCGUACUUCUUACAAUUGCGAUGGGGGGACGGAGAAGGCUAGGUGAGUACUUAGCGACGGUUGUCCAGGUUCAAGUGCGUAGGCUUAAGAGUUAGGUAAAUCCGGCUCUUUCUAAGGCUGAGACACGACGUCGAGCUACUACGGUAGUGAAGUCAUUGAUGCCAUGCUUCCAGGAAAAGCCUCUAAGCUUCAGAUUGUAAGGAAUCGUACCCCAAACCGACACAGGUGGUCGGGUAGAGAAUACCAAGGCGCUUGAGAGAACUCGGGUGAAGGAACUAGGCAAAAUGGUACCGUAACUUCGGGAGAAGGUACGCUCUCGACGGUGAAGUCCCUUGCGGAUGGAGCUAUUGAGAGUCGCAGAUACCAUAGGUGGCUGCAACUGUUUAUUAAAAACACAGCACUGUGCAAAAUCGUAAGAUGACGUAUACGGUGUGACGCCUGCCCGGUGCCGGAAGGUUAAUUGAUGGGGUUAGACUUCGGUCGAAGCUCUUGAUCGAAGCCCCGGUAAACGGCGGUACGUAACUAUAACGGUCCUAAGGUAGCGAAAUUCCUUGUCGGGUAAGUUCCGACCUGCACGAAUGGCGUAAUGAUUAGUACGCUGUCUCCACCCGAGACUCAGUGAAAUUGAAAUCGCUGUGAAGAUGCAGUGUACCCGCGGCUAGACGGAAAGACCCCGUGAACCUUUACUACAGCUUGGCACUGAACAUUGACCCUACAUGUGUAGGAUAGGUGGGAGGCUUUGAAGCACAGUCGCUAGAUUGUGUGGAGCCGUCCUUGAAAUACCACCCUUGUAGUGUUGAUGUUCUAACGUUGACCCCUAAUCGGGGUUGCGGACAGUGCUUAUAGUGGGUAGUUUGACUGGGGCGGUCUCCUCCCAAAGCGUAACGGAGGAGCACGAAGGUGGGCUAAUCACGGUUGGACAUCGUGAGGUUAGUGCAAUGGCAUAAGCCCGCUUGACUGCGAGAAUGACGGUUCGAGCAGGUGCGAAAGCAGGUCAUAGUGAUCCGGUGGUUCUGAAUGGAAGGUACCAUCGCUCAACGGAUAAAAGGUACUCCGGGGAUAACAGGCUGAUACCGCCCAAGAGUUCAUAUCGACGGCGGUGUUUGGCACCUCGAUGUCGGCUCAUCACAUCCUAGGGCUGAAGUCGGUCCCAAGGGUAUGGCUGUUCGCCAUUUAAAGUGGUACGCGAGCUGGGUUUAGAACGUCGUGAGACAGUUCGGUCCCUAUCUGCCGUGGGCGUUGGAAGAUUGAAGGGGGCUGCUCCUAGUACGAGAGGACCGGAGUGGACGAACCUCUGGUGUUCGGGUUGUGUCGCCAGACGCAUUGCCCGGUAGCUAAGUUCGGAAUCGAUAACCGCUGAAAGCAUCUAAGCGGGAAGCGAGCCCUGAGAUGAGUCUUCCCUGAUACUUUAAGUAUCCUAAAGGGUUGUUCGAGACUAGAACGUUGAUAGGCAGGGUGUGUAAGCGUUGUGAGGCGUUGAGCUAACCUGUACUAAUUGCCCGUGAGGCUUAACCAU
rnacentral:rRNA from 1 species